UAACAAAAACAUGGUCUUUUGACUUAUUAAUUAGAGAUCAGGCCUGCUCACUGAAAUGAAAUUUAAAGAGCUGCAGUAUUCUGACUGUGCAAAGGUAGCAAAAUCAUUUGUUUUUUAAUUGGAAACUGGAAUGAAUGGUCCAAUAAAUAUAUUCUGUCUCAAUUUAAAUUGUGGAAAUUGGAUUUUAAGUUAAAAUACUUAAAUUAUUUUAUUAGACGAGAAGACCCUAUAGAAUUUUAUAUAACAAAUUAAUUUGUAUGUUUAAUUUUUUUAAUUAAUUAAUUGAAUUAUAUUUGAUUGGGAGGAUUAUUAAAUUUGAUAAACUUUAGUUUUUAUAUUAACAAUAAUUUUUGAAUUUAUGAUUUUUAAAUAAUUAAAAGAUUAAAUUACCUUAGGGAUAACAGCGUAAUAUUUUUGUAGAGAUCAUAUCGAUAAAAAUGAUUGCGACCUCGAUGUUGAAUUAAGAUAAAAACUAGGUGUAGAAGUUUAGUAUUUAAGUCUGUNNGACUUUNAAAAUCU
rnacentral:rRNA from 1 species